GCGACCCCAGUCAGGUGACGCAUUAAGUUAAA
rnacentral:rRNA from 1 species